UCACCCCUCCUGAAUGUCUUGGGCUUCAGGAAGGUAACAACACCCUGAGCCCAACUUAGUGCAGGAUACAGAAACCAGAGCUGGGCCUGCCUCAGCUCAGUGUACCCUGUGGCCCAAAUUCUCAGGUGUCAGCUGAGUGCUUGAGACAUGGGGCCAAGAUAAAUGUUCAUAGGUGGAAAAGUAGCUCUGCCUUCCAAGUUAGGGAGACAGUGUUGACCACUGGCCAAGAAAACACAAUAUCAAUGACAGGGAAGGAGAGAUAACCUGUUCAGGUACAAACUUCCUUUCAGAUCUGAUGAGGUAUCUUCAAGAGUCAAGGUACAUCAAGAUCUUCUAAAAUGAUCCUGGGUUUCUCCUGUGUUAAGACAAUUUCCACAUGAAAUAGUGGGAAUAAAAACAUAAAGCUUAGUCUGGACGGGCGCCAGGGACUCAUACCUGCAAUACUAUCUACUCAUGAGACUGAGAUCUGAGG